AGUUUUAAAAGUUGCUUUAGAAUAAAUGUUUACUAAAAAAUAAAAAAGAUAAUUAAGGUUAAAAUUAGUAGUGUUUAAUAAAUAUUUUGUAUGGCUAUAGAUAAAAAGUACUGUGAAGGAAAUCCAAAAUUAAGUAAACUUCUAUAGUAAUUGUUAAUAAUUGUACCUUGUGUAUUAUGGAAAAUUUAAAUAAUUUAAUGAAUUUUAAAAAUCUCGAAGUAAUAAUAGUUAACUUGAUAAGAAAGUUUAUGUUGUAAAAUAAAAUUUUAAUAUGGAGUUAAAGAUGAAAUGUUCAACGAGUUUUAUUGUAUCUGGUUUCUUAAGAAAUAAAUGUAAUUUAUAAUUUAAACUUUCAAAGUUUAAGAUUUAGGAGUAGGAGGGUUAAGCUUCUUGUUCAAUAAAGUCAUUAUAACAGUUUUGACAAAAUUGUAAAAUUAUCUAAGCUUAAAAUUAGCUAUGAUAACAAAUUGUUCAAAAUGAGUUAAGUAAAAACUAAGUCAAUACUUUAAGCAGUAUUAAGAUAUUAAACUAACAGUAAAAAAAAAAGCAAUUCUGGUUUUAUAAGUAGAAAUUAAUAUUAUAGUAGAAUAGAUAAAAUGAAAAUUAUAUUAUAUCUUAUUAUGGUUAUAAUUAGAGGAACUCGGCAAACAUAAUUUCUUGCCUGUUUAUCAAAAACAUGUCUAUUAUGAAGUUGUUAAUAGUCUGGCCUGCUCCCUGACUGAAUAGUUAAAGAGCCGCGGUAAUUUGACCGUGCAAAGGUAGCAUAAUCAUUAGUUUCUUAAUUGGAAACUUGUAUGAAAGGUCUGACAAAGAAAAAGCUGUCUUUAUUAUAAAAAUUGAAUUUAACUUUUAAGUGAAAAGGCUUAAAUAAUUUAGAGGGACGAUAAGACCCUAUAAAGCUUUAUAUAAGUAAUAAUUAAAACUGAAUUUAUAAUAAUAUUAAAAUUAAUUAUAUAAUAUAUUUUAUUGGGGUGAUAUUAAUAAAAUUGAUAUUAACUGUUAAGCGAAAAUACAGAGAUAAAAGAUUUAAAUCUGUUAAUGAUCCUUAUCUAAAGAUUAAAAGAUCAAGUUACUUUAGGGAUAACAGCGUAAUUUUUUUUAAGAGUUCAUAUCGAAAAAAAAGAUUUCGACCUCGAUGUUGAAUUAAAGAUAUCUGUGUAAAGCAGCUAUUACACGAGAAGGUCUGUUCGACCUUUAAAUUUUUACAUGAUUUGAGUUCAGACCGGCGUGAGCCAGGUCGGUUUCUAUCUUCUAAAAAUAAAUUAACCGUUUUAGUACGAAAGGAUUAAGUGGUUUUAAAAAUUAAAUAUCU
rnacentral:rRNA from 1 species